rnacentral:sRNA from 1 species
ACCUCCGGGGGCAGGGAGGUUCGACUCGAGCGAAGCGAGAGAACGUUGCGCCAGCAACGGCCCGCAGGGCGAGCCACGAAGUGGCGAGUAAUCCUCUAUCACCGACCA